CCAUUAAUUGAUAGUAAAAUAAUACUUCAAGGUUGAUGUUCCCAAGAUCGAGAUUACAAUCAGAAUACAAUAUCAGAACGCAAUAAAAUAAAAUAUAUCACAACGUAAACAAUAGAAUGCGCCCCUGCGUGCAUUUCCUAAGAAGUCUUCUUGCAAUAUGAUAUUCUUUUCCUUUAUGAAAAGCACCUAUUAUAGUUUAUACAUUAUUAAAUCGAUUGCUUGACGGUACACGCUAUAGUAAUUUACACUGCACGUACCCCUUUCUAUAUGAUUGCAUGAUUGCAUGUAAUAGUCUGUAGCAAAUUGCUACAGAAUUGGAGAAAUUCACGCUCUAAAUUAUACUAGAAAAAAAAUUGAGACAGAAUAUUUAUUCAAUCAAUAAAGGAAGAGGGAAUAAGAUGCGCCUCUUUCUUGUUUACGAUCGCAUAUAUUCUAAACGUAACGUAACGACAUGAUUUGUCUCGAAGCACAAUACUUUAAUGUCAAUAGAAUUCUUUUACAAGGAACUGCAUUAUGGCCGUUUCAACAAUCGAAAUUUGCUCAGUUUCAAUUUAAUAUAAUGUUUAUUAUUUUAGUAACUGCUACUGUCUGUCAGAUAACAACAUUUGUAACUUCAGAAAUAACACUCAAAUUUGUUUUUAAAGUGUUACCAUGUAUACUUUUCUUCAUUAUGUUGGUGAUACAUUACAGUUCAUUUCGAAUUAACAUGAAAACCCUAAAGGAUUUGAUGAGGCAACUUCACCGUGCAUGUACUAAAUUAGAAGAUAAAAACGAAAUUGCUAUCAUAAAUAAAUAUGGGUGGAACGCACACCGUUAUACAAUCGUACUUAUUAUAUCCUUCCUUAGCGGAGCAUUCAUUUUCAUUGCCAGUCAAAUUGCAAUAGCUUUCUUUGACAUCAGUUCACCCACAAACGGAUCCUAUAAGCAUCGAAUAUUAUAUAUACACAUAGCGACCGAAUAUUUUAUUGAUGAACAAAAAUAUUUCUAUUUAAUUGUGUUUCACAUGUAUACAGCCCUCUUCAUCGGAACAUUUUCGGCAAUAGCAAUAGAAACAUUGAUGAUUGCGUAUUUGCAGCAUACAAGCGGAAUGUUCAGAAUUGCCUGUUACCGUAUCGAACACGCAAUGAAGAUUAAUAUACUAGAAAAUAUUAGUUUAAGCACUGCAUCUUCGAUAUCAAAGAAAAUAGUUUAUGCUAUAAAUAUUCAUCGGGAAGCCAUGAAAUUGUCCGAGCUCUUAAUAUCAAGUUUUGACAAAACAUACUUCUGCUUAACAGUACUCUCAGUGAUUACAUUAAGUCUCAAUCUUUUUCAGCCAAUUUCUUUGGGCAGGAUAUAAUGGAUCAGAAUAAUGAAAUAUAUAUUGCCGCGUAAGAGACGCAAUUUAUAAAAUACAAUUAUCUAUGAGUCUUCUUCCUAUACAAUAUUCAGUGGUACAAGUGUCCUCAACGAAUCCAAAAAUUGAUACUAUUGCUUUUGCAAAGGAGAGCUAAAGAAUUUCAUUUAACUUG
rnacentral:misc_RNA from 1 species